rnacentral:rRNA from 1 species
GACGGAGGGUGCAAGCGUUGUUCGGAAUUACUGGGCGUAAAGCGCGUGUAGGCGGUUCGAUAAGUCGAAUGUGAAAGCCCGAGGCUCAACCUCGGAAGUGCAUUCGAAACUGUCAGGCUUGAGUACGGGAGAGGGAAGUGGAAUUCCUGGUGUAGAGGUGAAAUUCGUAGAUAUCAGGAGGAACACCGGUGGCGAAGGCGGCUUCCUGGACCGAUACUGACGCUGAGACGCGAAAGCGUGGGGAGCAAACAGG